CUGGAAACGGUGGCUAAUACCGGAUAUGCCGAGAGGUGAAAGGCUAGCUGCCUGAAGAUGAGCUCGCGUCUGAUUAGCUAGUAGGUGUGGUAAAGGCGCACCUAGGCGACGAUCAGUAGCUGGUCUGAGAGGAUGAUCAGCCACACUGGGACUGAGACACGGCCCAGACUCCUACGGGAGGCAGCAGUGGGGAAUUUUCCGCAAUGGGCGAAAGCCUGACGGAGCAAUACCGCGUGAGGGAGGAAGGCUCUUGGGUUGUAAACCUCUUUUCUCAGGGAAGAAAAAAAUGACGGUACCUGAGGAAUAAGCAUCGGCUAACUCCGUGCCAGCAGCCGCGGUAAUACGGAGGAUGCAAGCGUUAUCCGGAAUGAUUGGGCGUAAAGGGUCCGCAGGUGGCCAUGUAAGUCUGCUGUUAAAGAAUGAGGCUUAACCUCAUCAGAGCGGUGGAAACUACAGAGCUAGAGUGCGGUCGGGGUAGAGGGAAUUCCUGGUGUAGCGGUGAAAUGCGUAGAUAUCAGGAAGAACACCAGUGGCGAAAGCGCUCUACUAGACCAUAACUGACACUGAGGGACGAAAGCUAGGGGAGCGAAUGGGAUUAGAUACCCCAGUAGUC
rnacentral:rRNA from 1 species